GUUUUCAAAUUUAUCCGCUUUGGAGAGCGUCUUCCAACAGGAAGAAAGGCCAAAACGGAGAGAAAAAUAUACGUUUUCCAACGAUAACGUAUUAGUGUGGCCAUGGCCUUAUAAGCUAAUCAAAAAAGAGGCUACACAAUAGCCAAUCAGAAAAUCACACUAUUGCAACACAACAACCAAUGAAAAAAAAGCAGAUCCUGGAAUUGUUCAGGAUGAUCCUCAUUCACCCACAGAGAAAACCACUGGAGCUGCGAGGAUCACUUUGAGCACAGAACACUGGUUUAUGAAGAGUGUAUGCAUCUUGCUCAGCUAAACAGUUCCCUUUCGGAACUCGAGCUGCGUCAAAACACUAUGGGAACGCCCCUGCAUGACCGCGCUCUGAACCACGUGUGUAAUCUGACCAAUAGGCCUUGGGACGUGACGUCAUCGGCGAGAGAUGGACAAGACGCUAGCUUCUGCUCGUUCAGACCCUUCUCGUGUUCACUAAUGAAUGCAGAGUAACCCAUUAGAGGGAGGAAGCAGACGCAGAAGAGCUGGGUAAAGCUUGUAUGUGGGCAUGUGAUGCUGACUCAUGAAGGUAAGCUCAGUAAUGGACCACAGACUGGUGUGGUUUAAGGCACAGAGAAUAGUAUUUUGUGUUUUCUUGAAGUCAUAAUACAUUCUGUAUUUUUGAAAACAAAGGCCCAUCCAUGAAUGUUAUAUUUUUAAUAUAGUAAAAGCCUUAGUACAAUCACCUUGCAGUUCUGCUCCACUCUGUACAUUCUGUUACAUCUUUUCUACCAAUUAUAAAUGGAUAUAAUUGUAAAUUCAUUUCUUACCUCUAUUCAUUGUUCACCUCUGUUUAUGUAUAUUAACUGUACGUACAAGUAUCAACACAAACCCAACACAAACUCCAUGCUGUAGCUU